UUUUUAACAAUCCAGUGAUACUGGAGUAUGUUGCUUCAACUUCUACAAGAACGUAAAUGGCCAUUGCAUACAAUGUCCAGUUGGUUCUUUUGGUUCGAACUGCAGUGGACAUUGUCCCCCGGGAUACUUUGGAAUGUUAUGUCGAGAGAAAUGUUCUUGUGAGGAAGACAUUUGUGACAGAGAAAUUGGUUGAACACAACAAACAGAUUGGUCUAUUCCAUCUUCCCCUACUUCAACAUCAGUCGAGAAAAUUUUGCCGACUGGUAUGAUGUCGUCCUCAUAUUGGAAAAACACACUCUUUAUAGUGAU